rnacentral:lncRNA from 1 species
CUUCUAGUUCUAAUCCUAUGUAGCUAUGCUAAUCUAGAUGUCUAAUUGAUGUGGUGGCUCUAAUCUUGAUCAGAGGCUUCUUCUCCCUUGAUGGAACAAUGAAUUAGGGUUGAGAGGCUCUCUCCUCCAGGGGCCAGGGGGUCUGGUUUUAUAGUCCCUUCAAGUGAAUAUGGGCCCUUGGAUCAAACCGACAUAGAUUGUAUGGUUUAGAUUCAUCCUUUAGGUCGGUGGAGAUCUCCCGCAAAGCAGAGUCCUGAUUGGACUCCUGGAGUGGGCGGGCGCCCAGUAGGACAGGGCGGGCGCCCUGUCUCUGGCCCCGUUUCGCCUCCGCUUCGGUCUCGUGGCUUCUGGAGUCUUCUAGAUGUAAGAUAAUUGCACAGCACGUUAAUAUCUUUACGUAAUCCCGACAUGUGGGCCUUUCUUCCAUAUUUCCUGAUAACCCCCUGUAGAAAUAGACAAACACCAAAACUCGUGGAAUUCUGUCAGAUAAAACCCUAAGUGUAGAUCUUGAUUUCAUUUGGAUCCUUUUCUUUAUUUAUUUGAUAAUUAAAUUUGAUACUUAAGGACCGUCAACAAACUCCCCCAAGCUUACCUCUUGCUCGUCCCUGAGCAAAGAUAGACUCAGCUAUGGAUCAUAAGUUGUUGCAAUAUCUUUCAAAAUUGACGGUACACAUGCUUUUAAAUAAGAUCUCAUCUCUGAGUUAGAGUAAACUGUCAAGACUUAAAACUUACUUACUUUACCUUCACCAUGGGACUUGUAACUGUCACUUCUGUCUUGAGUGGUUAAAAGAUAGAACAGUCUAGCCAAGUGCCAUGUCUCUUAUUCUUGAUCAGCUAUAGCUCUGGGGUUUUUGCAGAUUUUCAAAUAAAACUCAGAGAUUCCUUGUAUGAUUCUCUCAGGUCUCUCUUUUGUGGUAUUUUUGGAUCCUUACCAAGGCAGUGAUGGUAUAUGCCUUCUCUCAAAAUAUGUAGUAUUUGUGGUUUGAGGCAUAGUGACAUUGCCUUCUCUCUCACCCUACUCUAAUAAGGCUUUAAUAUCUGGAGCUCAUAGGUGGGAGAUAAAGUAUACAUACUUAUAAGACAUUUAUUGCAUAGUCAAACCAUGGAUCCAAAGUAACAAGUCAAUAAGUCAAAUCAAGAUGUGCAUGUGUGGCGAAUGAAUGGUGUAUGGUGAUGAUGGUGAUAACAAUGGUGAAAACAAUGGUGGUGGAAGUCUAAUUCUACUUUGCUCUUUGAGGGGAUACAUACCUUCCUAGCUUUUUGAAACUUUAUGAGGAGAAUGAGAUGCUCUAUAUUUUUCUUUUCUCUCAGGUGGGUAUCUUGCACCCCUAAUUCUAUUGUCGGACACUUGUCCAUUUUUACCUCUCGUCUCACUUUUUCUUUUCUUUCGAGGUUCCGAGCACUUGCUCCUUUUUAUUUUCUCGUAUCUUUUUUUUAGAGCAUUGAUCUCUUGAGAUAAUAUAGCAAGUGGUAGUAACAAGAUAACUUGAGCAUUUAUUUCACAAGGGGAAAACAGAAAUAUUUUUGGUUACUCUCUCCCGGAUUAGGAGUAGAAUAUUUUUGGUUGGUUCUAGAGAUGGAAUGGGUGGAUAUAUGUGGAUGGUACUUCCGGAGUAGAAGUAGCAUAUAUGAGUGAACGUGCAAGUGAAAUCUUGAUUUAACUACAUGACAAGCUCCUAAGGGUCUACACAGCUUGACCACACUCAAUGCUCAUAAGCAGUAAAUAGUAAAUGUGUGGCUCAAAGUCUAGCAAGCAUGUAUAUAUGGCUGUGGUAGGAAUUUAAACUCUCAUCAUACAGGAACUCAUCAUGCAACAUUUUAAAUAUUUUCAAAGAUAAAAUUCUCCAGAAUUCUAGCAUCUCUAGGAACAGAUAAACAGCUGCUCAACCUUCCCAUAUCGUAUCUGUUAACAACUUAGACUUCAGAUCAAGUUUUCAUCCCACAAGUUUAGGUCUAGAGCAAGCUUUAAAUUAUAACAAUUAUAUCUAAACUUGAGAGAGAACUUAAAAUUUGCAAAUUAGGCAGAGCAACUAUUUAUCAUAUCCGUGCUUAAGUUUUAUUUAGAUACAGAUUAGCAUAGCCACUUUAUUUAUCUAUUAAACACACUAAGCAAAAGAUAUAUAUAUAAGCAUAAAAUCUUUAUUUGGUUUUCCAUAGUUUAAUAAUAUAAGUAUAAAGAUAGAUAGAAAUACUUAUUGAGAUAAAUGGGGGUGCUCUCCCCCAAGCUGAAUUUUGACGUAAUUUCUCUUGAUGUAGCUAGCAGGUGGCAGAGGUGUAUUUGCAAGUCAGUAGCAUUCUGACAGCGAUUAGAAUAUCCUCCGUCUGCUAAUCUUCUUGAUUCUUAAAUUCUGUGGAGCUCAAAUAGACAACAAAGCUUGUGGAACUGAUUAAGUGUUAGCAUAAAUAUCUAGCCUUUAUUAUCUUGAGACUCCUUAAUAAUUAUUACUCCUUGUUUUUAUAUUUUUAUUUUAUAAAGUAGAAAAAUAUUUAUUCUAUUUUUAUGCCACCACAGUGAAUGUACUUAUGGGUUUUAUGCCACUCGUCUACUCACAUGGGGCUUACUGUUUUUCACAUUUUUAUUUUCUGUUUUUUAGGAUAAUACGAACAUGAUUAACUAAGUAAACUAUUUGAAAUAAUUGAAAUGAUUAAAAGGGAAAGGAUAACUUCCAAGUUUACCUCUUGGCAAGGCGUUCGGUGUUUCUAAGUCCUCCGAACGGGACUCUCCAAUUUCUUAAUCGUCCUGAGGUUCGUUGGGUGGCGUAGUCGGUACUUCCGGCAGCGCCUCCUCUUCAUGUAUAGUUAUCUUCAUUUUCAACACCUGACUCGGUGCUUUAGUCUCCUCUGGAUAAUUCUAUUUAAACUCUAUGUCUUCUGACCUUACAACUUCUCCUUCAUAGUCUGCCCAUCCAUCCUUGAUGAUCUGCCUCCUCCGGUUGCGGUUGCGUCGUUUCCUUACCUGCUUAGAUUCUUCAACAAUAUAGUUAGGGUCAGUAAAAUAACGGCGUACCUUUUCUGAGGGGAAGUGCAUAUGGACUUCUCCGGUUCCAAUGUAGAUAAUUGCUUUAACGGUGCUGAGGAACGGUCUUCCAAGGAUGAUGGGCGGAUCGUACUCGUCUUCUCCCAUGUCAACAACUUGAAAGUCUGUGUAGACAAAGUGAUCGUCUAUUUUGACUGGGGCAUCAGAUACUAUUCCUUGAACUUCUCGAAAUGUCUGAUCUGCCAUCUGGAGCUGAAUGUAUGUUGGUCUUAGUGGCAUGGUUCCGAACAAGAGCCGAUAGGUGACUGCGGCCAUUAUGUUGACGCCUGAUUCGGUGUCGCAAAUCGUCUUGUAGAAGUUGUAUCCUUAUAGAGCAGUAAAUGCUUGGCAUUCCUGGGUCGUCCUUCGUGGUCAAAAACGGUGACUUAAGUUGGUGAUCUUGGCCUCCAUGAACUACAGUGACCAUCUUAGCUGACUCGGUCCACACUUGCUUGUUCCUGUUUGUCCUGUUGGUCCUCUUCCUUGAUUCACGUCUGGAUUGAUUUGGAAUUUGUGUAGUCUUGUUCUUGAAGAAAAAUGUCUCCUUCUUUCUUUUGACGUAGAAACUGAUCUUGGCAGCACUGGUGUAGAUGAUAGCUCCCGUGGUAUUCAAGAAUGGCCUCCCUAAGAUGAUAGGUGCUCUCUCAUCAUUUCCGGUCUCUACCACUACGAAGUCUGCUGGGGCAUAUAAGGUACCAACUCGGACACAAAGGUUCCUCACUAUUCAUUUUGGAAAAGUUAUUGUCUGAUCUGCAAACUGCAAACACAUGGUUGUCUCUAAUAAAGGAUUUGUAAAGAAUUUCUCAUAGAGUACCCUGGGUAUAAUGUUGACGCUGGAGCCAAAGUCGCAGAGUGCUUCUGGAACGUCCACCAUGCCGAUGGAGAUCGGGAUGACGGGGCGUCCUGGAUCGCCUCUCUUGACCGGCAGAAGGUCAGUAGAAAAUUCAGUGACGGGGUUACUCCAAUUACCUGCAUUAAACAUGUACCGGGGUUAGUAGUAGGAACAGCAGCAGCUAUUUGAUUUAACUGGGAUUCAAUCAUUUUAUUAAAGCUAAUUUGAUUUUUGAUGGCAGUAGAAAAAUUAUCCAUUCUAUUAUUUAUAUUUUCUAGCAUUUUAUCAUUAGAUGCCAAUUUCUUAGAUAGAUUAUCCAUUAGCUUUCCUUGAUUAGACACUAACUCUCUCAAAGGUGGAAAAUUACUAUUGUUGUUGUAAGAAUUGUUACCUUGAUAAUUACCUAAGUAGUUAGGCCUCUGUUGAUUCCAACCUUGAGUUUGUUGAGGACGGUUGUAGUAGUAGUAGUUGUUGUUGUUGAUGUAGUUCACAUCCUCAAGCAUCUCAGGACAGUGGUUGCCUGAGUGUCCAGUGUCUCCACACUCCUCACAAGUCAUGUGAGAGUCAUAGAUGUGCAUAACUUCUUUCUUGUCUCCAGCUCUAUCAUCGAGCUUCUUCAUGAGCAGGUCUAGCUUUGCAGACAGCAUGUCUACCUCCUUCAGCUGAUGCAUACCUCCACCUCUCUUGCGUGUCUGGGUCCUCUCUUCAUUCCAGCUUUGAUUGGACGCCAUCUUCUCCACAAGAGCUGUGGCUUGUGGUAUAGUAAGUGAUAAGAAUGCUCCUCCAGCUGCAGCAUCCAUGGUCUCUCGGGCACUGUUGCUGAGCCCAUGAUAGAAUGUCUGCAUCAAUAGCCAACUCUCCAUUCCAUGAUGGGGACAUUCUAGGAUGUAGUCUUGAAAGCGCUCCCAUGCUUCUGGAACAGAUUCAUCAUUUUGUUGCUGAAAACUCGUAAUCUUCCCACGGAGAGCAUUGGUCUUGCCCAUGGGAAAGAACUUUGCCAGGAAGUUUGUUGAGCAGAGUGCCCACGUAGUAUUCUUCUCCUUUGUAGCGUAAAACCACUGCUUCGCUCUUCCUAACAGUGAGAAUGGGAAGAGGCGAAGUAGUAUAGCGUCUUUGGAAACUCCUGCUAUGGUGAAUGUGUUGCAAAUCUCCAGGAAGUGUUGUAAAUGAGCACUAGCAUCUUCGUGUGCCUUCCCACAGAACUGGUUGGAUUGCACCAUGUUGAUAAGUCCAGGCUUGAGCUCAAAGUUGCCAUCGAUCUCUGCAGCAGGUCCAGUGUGGAUGUUGUCCGUAGUGGGAGCUGAGAACUCGCGGAUUGAUUUGUUCGCCAUGGCUUCGAACUCUAAAGACAAGUUUCGGUGAUCUUCUUGAUUGGAUGAAGCUUCUUGCUGAAGUGUUGAUGAUUUCUUUAGCUUGGCUCUCGUCUUCUUGAAUAAUGCUUCGGGAUUGUCAACAAAAUUCCUUGGAAGAUGUCUUCUAUUCAUACAUUCCCCUGCAUAAGAUAAAAUAGAAAAAUAUCGGGGUAAAACUGUAUGAGAGAAUAGAUAAGCUCAAUGAUAUUAGUGAUGCGAAUGAUAACUCAAAAUCUUUUAUUCCAUUCCUGAUUGGUAAUCAACCUUUCCCGGCAACGGCGCCAAAAAUGCUUGUUGGGUAUUCUUAACAUCAUUACCAAAAGUAGACUAAGUUCUCUAAAUCUAGUAACAGUGCCAAAAAUGCCAAACCUAUCCCUCACACCACUUAAGCCAAGUUGUCAUCCCCAGCAUGACAUGAGAGACGCGGUAUUGAAAUAUGCAAUUGCUCUUCUAAAUAAAUAAUGUAUGGGAUCUGCAAGCGCAUAGAUUAAUACCGAUGCAGCAUUUUAACCGGGAAGUAUUCCAGGUAUCGUUAUUUAUAUUUUUACCACUGGGAAGGGAUUAGCAAUCAUCAACAUUGAUUACAGAAUAGAAUAUGAGAUUGAGCAUCUAUCAUUGCAUGUAUAAUUGAGAACAUUUAUCUAACUCUUCACACAGAGAUAAGUGUCACAUAAAAGAUAUAUGAAAUAAUAAUAGUGACAAGUAUAACUAAUCUGAUCUAGCCACAUAAUAAAUAUGAUAAGCACCUCAAUUAGAUACUCUAGAAAGUCAUUAGCAUGGUAUUAGAACAAACUACAAGAAUAUUCCCUAAGUUAUUCUUAACUAUAUAGUCUAGCAUUAUCAUAAUUAGUGCAAGCAUACUUAGCAAUCAUUGCGAGACAAGACUACGCCCAUGCAUAGUGAUAUUAGCAAGGAAUAUGAGAAACAUAGCAAUCACUCCCCUGUAAUAAUGUUGCUCUGCCUGCCCAAUACACGAGAGGGGGACUAUAUAAGAAUCAAUGAAGCUAUCACUAUCACGAACCACCCCACGAUCUGGCAUAUUGGGUACAAUCGCAGAUAAAUACGGUAUAAGCACCACGCCUACACAAUAUCUAUCAUUUACCCAUGGAUCCGAUGGAUAAACGCUAUACGAUCCUAAGCAUGUAUAUAGAUCGAAUCUAACUAAGCCAAGUACAUAACUAUGAUAAACUAAGAACAAUAUAAUCUUGAAUAUAAGCAAGUAGAGCAAAGUCAUAAGCAAUAUAUUGAAGUAGAACAAAGUCAUAUUCAUAAUAUUGAAGAACAAAGAUAAUUAGAAAGCAAUUAGAAGCACAAUUAGAGAAUUACCAAGAAUCCUCCUGACAGAUCCGGAAACCAAUCGAAGAUUGACUCCUUCUAGUUCUAAUCCUAUGUAGCUAUGCUAAUCUAGAUGUCUAAUUGAUGUGGUGGCUCUAAUCUUGAUCACAGGCUUCUUCUCCCUUGAUGGAACAAUGAAUUAGGGUUGAGAGGCUCUCUCCUCCAGGGGCCAGGGGUCUGGUUUUAUAGUCCCUUCAAGUGAAUAUGGGCCCUUGGAUCAAACCGACAUAGAUUGUAUGGUUUAGAUUCAUCCUUUAGGUCGGUGGAGAUCUCCCGCAAAGCAGAGUCCUGAUUGGACUCCUGGAGGGGGCGGGCGCCCUGUCUCUGGCCCCGUUUCGCCUCCGCUUCGGUCUCGUGGCUUCUGGAGUCUUCUAGAUGUAAGAUAAUUG